UACGUAGGGGGCAAGCGUUGUCCGGAUUUAUUGGGCGUAAAGCGCUCGCAGGCGGCUCGAUGCGUCGUGCGUGAAACACCCCGGCUCAACUGGGGAGGGUCGUGCGAUACGGUCGAGCUUGAGGCCAGUAGGGGGAUGCGGAAUUCCGGGUGUAGUGGUGGAAUGCGUAGAGAUCCGGAGGAACACCAGCGGCGAAGGCGGCACCUGGACUGGUACUGACGCUCAUGAG
rnacentral:rRNA from 1 species